CAGCCAGUCCCUGCCUUUCCACUCCCUCAAUCCCCUUGGAACUUCUGGAUUCUCAGCUCUUGGCUUCCGCAAACCAAAAACUGAUCCACUUGGCCUCAUGGGGCUGGGCUCGCUCUCCCCGUCAUCUAAUUUCCUUCCCUGACAGCAUUUGGAGUUUCCUUGCUGGGCAACUGUGAAGGUCUGAAAUCAUCUAGUGAAUGGAUUUGGUGCAGAGUAAGUGCAUGACAGUUGUUGAAGAUGACUACUGAUCAUUUGGGAUCCUUCACAUCUCCUCCACCAGGAAAGAAAGCUGGACUGCGCAGGUCGGGAAGAUUCCGGGGAGAUGCACAGCCUUUGCGUUCUGGGCUCAUCUGGCCUUCAACGUGUGAUUUUGAGAGUUGGAAGCGAGAAGAUUAUAACUCAGAAUGGCACGCGGGUGUGAAGCCGG